UACGGAGGGUGCAAGCGUUAUCCGGAAUUACUGGGCGUAAAGCGUGCGUAGACGGUUAUGUAAGUCGGAUGUGAAAGCCCCGGGCUCAACCUGGGAAUUGCAUUCGAGACUGCAUAGCUAGGAUGCGGAAGAGGGAAGUGGAAUUUCCGGUGUAGCGGUGAAAUGCGUAGAUAUCGGAAGGAACAUCAGUGGCGAAAGCGACUUCCUGGUCCAGCAUCGACGUUCAGGCACGAAAGCGUGGGGAGCAAACAGG
rnacentral:rRNA from 1 species